GAACUGAAGAGUUUGAUCAUGGCUCAGAUUGAACGCUGGCGGCAGGCCUAACACAUGCAAGUCGAGCGGAUGAAGG
rnacentral:rRNA from 1 species